GCUGCUUGCUGUCUGAGAACGAAGAGCAUUAACCCUGGCUUCCCUCCAGCCUCCAGCACUUGCACUUCAGACAUCAUUCAUCCUCUAUCCCAGGAGAAAUUCCAUGCCGUGCAAUUUGGGGCAGGCUGUUGUGGGAAAUGGGGAGCAGAGCAUCGCAGGAGCGGCGGGGCGGACAAGGCUCCUCCCCUCCACCAGGAUCCUGUGCUGUGUCCGGCACCCCUUGCUUUGUCUGGCUGUCUUUGCUCGGGUGUCCUGUGGACAGGAGGUGCACAGAAGCGAGCGAAACAGGACACUGCUCCUCUAAACUCCAGACAGCUUUGCAACGAAAAUGUUGCAGACUUGGAGGCUUGGCUGAUUUGGAGAAGGCUCCAGAGACUUCUACACUGUAAACUCCUGGGCAGAAGGCUGUGGAUGAAAUACUGCCGCACCUGGGGCUUUUUCAGACAUCAGCCCGUGCUACAGGAGAGAGAACAAAAGUUUCAAGCCACAUUAAAUGCUGCUGCUAGCUGGACUACAUUACCCUGUGUGAUCUCUCCAUGGUUUCACUCAAAACAAGGCUGCUUUACCAUUUUCUUUCAAAAUCUGUGAGAAGUUGCAGCUUUUCCCAGCUGGGCAGCCUUCUAAUUGCCUGUGUAAGUGGAAAGUCAGAUGCCCAAUCCACAUCCCAGCAAAGGUGAUAAUCAGGGAGCUCCUCUGGCUUUGGCUGGCAACAGCUGCAGUCUGGGAAAGGGGAACCCAGGACAAAUGGGGGGUGGGGAGGUGACGGGAGUGGCAGGGAGUGUGACAGAGAUCCUGCAGGACUUUGAAGUUUUUAGGGGACUUGGUGCUCCUCUGUCCACUCCUGGAGCAGGUGUAGGAGAGCAGUGCGAACAACAUCAGCACAUUUCAGAGUAAAAUAGAGUAAAAAGCUCAUCAUGGCUGCUGCCUCUGGCCUGUGCUCUGGAGAUGCUUGGGCACUCCAGGCAAGAAAGAUUUUUUAACCAUGGCAGGAGAUAAUAGAUUAUCUGGAGAUGCUGGACCCUGGAAAGUCAUGUGAACAAUCCACAGCUCUCAGUAUUCUUUUUUAGAUAACUCUUAAGUCAGGGUGGGUUUUUGUUUGCUUUUUCCAAGCUAUUUAUUAAUUUUGUUUUAAAGCUUUCCUAAAGUUUAUUUAUGGGUUUUCUACAUUUUCCUUCUGAUUUUACUCAUGACGAUUUUGCCUCUUUGGAAGCCUGGGAUGCCUCUAUCCCCUUUGAAAACCUGUUUUCUGGUUGCUGGAAAUGAAUGCAAUCGGUUCAUAAUUAUUACUUCCCAGGUGACCACCAACUUCCUGCCCAGUGGUCUCUUGGGUGGUGCCAGGUGAUUACCAGAUGCUGGGUACAGCAUCUCACUGGCCAUAAAGUGCCAUCUAUUGCCACCAGACCUCAGAGAAUUGUUUAAGUUGAAAAAAACCUCCGGGAUUAUGGAGUCCAAGCAUUAAAACAGCACUGCCAAGCCCUCCACUAAACCAUGGCCAAAUCUACCCAGCUUUGAAGUAACUCUAGGGAUGGUGAUUCAAUCACCUCCCUGGGCAGCCCAUUCAUAUCUUCACUGAGAUGUGCAAUAUUCCCAGCAGAUGUUUCACAAGCUGGC
ensembl:lncRNA